UACCCAUCAAAGGAAUCACAAGUUCAGCAUGAGUCUGUGUGUCUGCUUUCCCUUCUGUAGCAUUAAAAUAAAGUGCCUUUCAAAGGAACUGGGAAGGAAUCGCUAUUUCCAGGAACUUACAUAAAUGGUCUUCAAGUGCAAAAGUGGAAAAUCUUGAACUCCUUAGGCUCUUCACCUACCCCCUCCCUUAAGAAGGACUCUAUAUAGACCUAGAUUGUAUAGUAAAGGGGUCACAUCCUUGAAAGAGAACAAAAAACCAGUGUGACUUAGGUCUGUGCUGCAUAGAAGAGGCUGGCAAAUAAAGCAGUUCUCUGUUUUUGCAUUUUAUCUUAAUUAGCAGUCAUUUCCAGCACAAAUUCUUAUGGUUAGCCCCUUUCCCAUCUUUGUUUGACCUCCCACAUAAACUACAAACUCUUUUGUCCACACUCCAGCAAUAAACAGGAAUGGAAAUCCUGAUGAGUUAGUUUGCCAGUAAUUAAAUUUGUCCCUUCUGUUCGUUUCACAGAUGCAGUUGCCCUCUGAUUUGAAGCAAAGUACAGGUGUGCAGUUAUCUGUGUGGACACAGCCUGGGAGCAGCUGCGGAAAUGGGAUGCUAAACGGAAACUGGAAAUUGUGAAGUCUACCUACAGCCACUCCUUCCUGAAGCACUCUGUAGACACCGUCAGGUGAGUGCUUGACUUGUCCAGCAGGAUCAUAAGCUACACAGAAGGAUGUGUUGGGGUUUGCUUUUACUCCAUCAGAGCCUGAAAGACUAUAAACAACCCUAUUUGUUGAAUACCUACUUGUUGAAAAACCCUACUUGUUGAACUCAGUGAAUACCAAGGGCAAGGAAAUUAAUUGUACACUUUUGCUGGUUUUUUCCCCCAUGUUCUAGCCUGAAGCUUUUACAAAUAAGGGGAGGGAAAUUAAGUUUUAAUUUUGCUUUUGAGCAGUUUUUUCAAAAUGGGGAGAGUUUUAAAAAGUUCAAGAGUGAAAUAAAAAUGUAAGGAUGCAUGUAUGUCUGUAAGGA
rnacentral:lncRNA from 1 species